AUGCCCGAGGGACGGCUGCGGGGAUGGCUUGCGAUGAGAAACGAGAUCACCGGCUGCUCACAGCGGCGCUACUGCUCACGGCGGGGAAGGGAGAUCGGCGGCGCAGCUCACGGCGGUGGCGGCGAAGGGACAUCGGCGGCGCUGCUCAUGGCGGUGGCAAUGAAGGGACACCGGCAGCGUUGCUGCUCAAGGAGGCGGCGAAUUGAUACGGCGGCGCUGCUGCUCAUGGCGGAGGGGGGUCGCCGGCGGUGCUGCUCAUGGUGGAGGGAGAUCACCGGCGCUACUGCCUGUUCCCCGCGGUGA
rnacentral:rRNA from 1 species